AAAAUUGUAGGUGUAACUAUGCUGUAUACUCUGUAUACUCGUGAAAUCAAAUUAACGUUUAAGCGAUAUGUAAUAUCGUUGGCCAUGAGGGCGUCUAUAGGUGUUUUU
rnacentral:sRNA from 1 species